rnacentral:rRNA from 1 species
UACGUGGGGGGCAAGCGUUGUUCGGAAUUACUGGGCGUAAAGGGCUCGUAGGUGGCCAACUACGUCAGACGUGAAAUCCCUCGGCUUAACCGGGGAACUGCGUCUGAUACUGGAUGGCUUGAGUUCGGGAGAGGGAUGCGGAAUUCCAGGUGUAGCGGUGAAAUGCGUAGAUAUCUGGAGGAACACCGGUGGCGAAGGCGGCAACCUGGACCGACACUGACACUGAGGAGCGAAAGCCAGGGGAGCAAACGGG